GCCAUAUCACAUUGCGAAACCAGUUUCUGUACGAUCACCAAAGUUAAGCAAUGUCAAGCUUGGUCAGUACAUAGAUGGGUGACCACUUAGAAAUACCAGGUGCUGUAAG